GCCACUAGGGGAAUGCACGGGUGUGAUUUACAGCCGGGGAUGAGCUGUGUAACUUCACCGUGCCAGCAUGCGGCUGGCAAAGCCUCAACACCAUGAGACCCCCAGUGCUGUAGGGUGAGGAGGGGGCUGCAUCCACGCCCCUGGCUCUACAGGGCUCAAAUGGCUCCCAAGAGGAAAAGAAAGGCAAUAGGGUGAGAUCAAGACGGUUGUGAGCAGGAGCAGGGUGCUGUGGCGAGGUGCCCGGUGUCCCAGGAGGAAGCCAAGAUUGAAAGUGAGAGGGAACCGGAGCCGGGACAGGUGACCCAGUUUGGGUGAAACAGGAACCGGCUGGCACCUCCUCCCAAAGACAUCCUGGCCAUGCUCGGCCCCCCUCAACUCACCAUAAUUUAUGAAGCAGAGGGUACCUAAUCCCAAACAGCCCUUUCACAUCUCAGUUUGAGAGCUGUCCCGUACCCACUGGAGCUGUGACACGGCACUGACAUUUUCCUUCUGCCUCUCUGUGUUGCAUACAACCGCCAAUGGCUUCACUUCUUUUCUUCCUACAAUGAGCGGCUGGGUGCAAGCUGCCCUCUCUUCCUCCCCAAACCAGCUCUCAAAGCCAGAUUUUGUGUCAGGCUUUCCAAAAGCCAGAACAAGCCUCUAGUUGUCAAAAAAAUGAAACCAAGAACCAAAUUGCACAUGAUGGCUUUGCAGAACCGUGAAUAAAUAACAGGCAGAUUCCUACCAAAGUGAAGAGUUUCUGCACAACAACUCAGUUUGCUUUAAGUUUUGUGCAAGAUGCCACACAACUCCCCCAUUGUGGGUGCCCUGGAGGUGCCCAAGGAUAGGCUGGAUGGGGCCCUGAUCUGGUGGGGGGCAGCCAACCCACUGCAGAACUGGAUGAUCUAAAAAGUCACUUCCAACCCAGCCAUUUUGUGCUUCUAUGAUCCCAUGAGAUAGGGGCUGCUCAACCUCUUCCAUUUCCUCAAGUGCUCAUAUGUUCAUCCCUGUUCUGGGUGCAGAAAUCAGUGCGAGGGUCUCGGUAGCUGAUCUGCCUCCAUGAGUUGUCAGAAAGAGGGAGAACUGUGGAAUAAGGAAAUGUUGGGAGUGUUUGGUUUCACUGCAGCAGAUGGGAAAGGAAAUUAAUAUGAGGAAUUUGGGAAUGUACACCGGAACCUUGCCUGGACCCACCACCCAUCUGGGCUGCCCUACAUCCAUCCCUCUUUCCAUGGAUCUCCCCUGAAUGCCCAUUCAUCUGCGUGUCCUCCCCUUCCUGCUCGCGGUAAUCGUUGGCACUGGGUGCUGUGCAGAGCAAUCCAGCUGCAGGACACAGCAUCUGUUGGUACCGGCGUUCUCCCAGUGCACCUCUCUCUUUGCUUUCUCUUUCCCCUGCACAGCUCAUGUCGGUCUGUAGACUACACAACGCCACUGGAGGCUAAGCCAGAUGCUUUUCCAGGCAGGAAAAGCUGCGCUUCCAGGAACCUCAUAGGGAAAAGAAAUGGCUUAAUGCUCAAAUACCUCCCCACCAUGUCGACACCUUCCUCCCCCCGACCCGGUGCGUUGCAGCGAGCAGCAGGGGACCCCAGGGAGCUCUGCUCCAGCUGCACGCUCAUCAGCCAGACGGGGAGCGCUCCGCGGUGCCUCACCACUGACGCUCACUGCGGUUAAUCACACAUCUGUGGGCUCCAACGGGCUCAGCCGGCGCGGGGAGGGACGCGCCAGGUAGCAGCAGGUGACAGAAGUUGCUGAUUCUGGUUAAAGUGUGAAAAACGGAUGAGGGAAGGAAGGGAGGGAGGCAGUGUUCUGGGAAGAGGGAAGUAUCUUCUUGUGUGUGUAUAUGUGGAUAUGCAGACCUUCAUCCCUCCUUGGUCACUGCAGAGUGCUCACACCUCCUGGUCCACCUGGAGGUUGCAGGAGCAACGAAGGUGAGUGGUGUCUUAAGCUCAGGGCUGGGAAAUGAGGCGUUUGGAGCUUCUGCUGUCAGCCGUGGCGGAACUGAAUGGCACAAAGGUGGCACAAGGUCCCAGGUUGCCCUCCUCCCACCCCAGCCAUGCUGUGCCGCAGGGCAGAGGACAGGUGGGGGCUGAGGCAGGCUCUGCUCUGCAGCAUGGCACAGCCCAGGGCCACAUUUGACUCUCUCAGCAGGAGGGAGGCGGGUGAGGUAACGGCUGCUCUUUGGGAGCGUGAGCAUCCAUCUGGCAUGCUGAGGGCGCAGGGGGUUGGCACCCAGGACCUGGCGCUGCCACCACGUGUCUAUGGAAGCGCCAAGACUGAGCUCUGCCUGGGAAGGAAAGCUUGUCCUUGCUGCUGACCUUGGGGCUGAGCCAUUCCUGCGGAGCACGCAGCAUCCCCAGGCACUCAGCACUCUUGGAGCACACAGCAUCCCUGGAACAUACAGCACUGCGGGACGUGGUGCGUCCCUGGAACACACAGCAUCCUCAGAGAUAGAGAAUCGCUGGAGCACUCAGCAUCCCUGGAGCACACAGCAUCCCUGUACAUGCAGCAUCCCAAAGUCCCUCUGCCCUGCUGCAGCUUUCCACACAGGAGAAAUGCAACAGCAAGACAUGAGGCAUGGGGCUGAGCAGCCACGGAGAAGGCGUUCCAAUGGGAGCAGAGCACAGUUGGUAGCUCUCUGUAAACCCUACCAAAACUCAGCGGGGAACUGAAGAGUAUUUAUCCUUUUCCUCUGCUCUUCCCCACCUCUCCAGUGACUCACCCUCACUUUUCCUUUGCAACACUGGUCAUUUUUAUUUCUCUCUGCUGUGGUUUGAUAAACAGACCUCAGCCUUCACGGAGACUGAAUCCUUGUUAUUCUCCUCAAUGGACCCCACAAACAGGAGAUGACUGCACCCCGUGGGUGCCAGCGCACCCUGCAGACAUGGGAGCUCGCUGCAAGGUGUGUCCUUGGGAGAAGGCAGCAGGGAUGCUGAAAUAACCUCUGUGUUAGUGCUGACAGAUGCACAGUUAAUGGUCUGUCUUCUUAAUGGGUGUCACUUUUGGAUCUAAAAACCCAAACUGGUGAACAGAAAUCCCCUUGUGCUGAAGUAACCAGGCAUGAGUGCCAAUCCUGGCAGAGGAUGAGGUUUGUGCUUGGAGCUUUAGGAGCCCUUGGAGCACCACCCUUUUCUGAAGGUGUAUUUAUACCAUCGGGGCUUACCUGCAGCCCCACAACCUCUCUGCCCAAGCGUGGAGGGUCCAAGGCUACUCCUCCCCACAUGAAUUCUUUGGGCAGGGAUGGAGAGAGCCGGAUGAUGACAUGAUGCGCAAGCAUGGACAGGAUGCUCUGCUUCCAGCAUCACUCACUCCCUCCCCCCAAAAAUGGGAUGGAGGCUGGGUUUCCCCCAGCAGCACCAAAAAGCAGCGCUGUGGGGCUGACUCACACCCACCCCCGGCUACCACAUCUCCCACGCCGCUGCUCCCAGCUUCUCCCUACUGAAGAAUUAUGUAGCAUGAAGAAGCAGGCUCCACCAUCUUGAACUGGCAGUGAACUUUGCUUUCUACAUAUAAAUACAGAUAGCAAUCACACCCCAAUCAGCACACAAGCUUCAGGGCAUCAUCACAGCAACUCUAACUUUCCCAUUACGAUAAUGUGAUUUUCACUCAGUCUAUAAUAUCACCAGCCAUGAAUAAAACAACUGGCUUUUCCUCUCUCUUCCCCCUCCCUGCCUCUCUCCUUCUCUCUCCCCCUCUCUCAGCUCACAGUCUUUGCAUACUAAUGCUGGCUGAGCAUGGCUUCAUGGUGCGAUCCAUGAUGGAUUUGGGAGCCCAGCCCCUGGGUGGAUCCCUGUUCCCCAUGCACGUGCCUUCAGCCCUCUUUCAGCAUCCUGGGUGCAUGUAUCCUGGCUGGCAACUGCCUUCUUGCCCCUUCUGCAUCACAUACCCAGAGCAGGUCCCAGCAAAUGCCCCGUGCCCAUUGUGUAAGUGUUGGUACCAUGCUGAAUGAGGAUGACAUGGAAGGGAGCGAUCCCAUAUGUGGGAAUGCAAACAACGUACAUUAAUUUGACUUUAUUUCUCAUUUUUGUCCAAGCCCACAGUAAGCCAGGAGCAGGUUUUUGCUUUGCAGAACACACUGUUGUGAUCCAGCCAAACUGGAUGUUCUCACAUCUUCCCCCCACGUGGCCUCUGCUGACAAAGUUUUGGGUAGAAGUCUUUCACGUGAGGACACCAAUGGCUUUGGAGAACUGAGAUUGUCCAGCCCCAGACUCCCUGCUGGAGCUGAGCGCUGCUCCUUUAACUCUCUUGGUGAAGGCUGUUAUCUCAGGGUGAGUAAUUAAUUCUCCUGAACAUCAGCAGCUGGCCCUGGGUGGGAGCUGCGCUGGGGAGAACAGGCAGAGCAGAGGAUUGGGUUAUAGGAUGCAAGAACACCUGUUCCUGCCUCUCGCUUUCUCCCUAAAACCUAUAAAGUGGGAAAGGGAGGAGGCAGCUGCCUGGGCUCCCUGCUCCAGGGCUAUGUGUGGAUGGAUGGAGCUUUUGCAGGCUGAAGGGAUGCAUCAAGUGCUGGGAGUGGCAGAGGGGAGGUUAGGGCUUCCCUUUCCCUGCAGCUCAGCCUUCUUCUGUGCUUCACUGUGCCUGCAGGAGCAGAGCUGCUGGCUUCAUUUGCUGCAGUGCGGUUGCAGUUGCCCCGGGCUCUUCUUGCUCGGGGGCUAGAGAUGGUUCCCUUGCCUUUCCCCUUGUAAAUAGAGAGCAGAGGCACUCCAAAAGCUGGCAGCACUCUGCCCGCUGAUCCCUCCGUGGAGCUCUCCUUGCACAGCAGGGGAUGUGUGCCCUGAUGGGUGACAGAGGUAUCUGAAAUGGAUGGGGCUGCGUUGGAGGUACCUGCCGGCAGGGCUACCUGGGAGACGCUCCUAUCUGUCAUCUGAUUUAUCCAGGUUAAAAGGCUGCAAUCAGUCACCAAGGUAGAUUCAUUCCCCAGUAAAUAGUGCCCGGGGGCUUCCAGGACCUAUUUUACUGCUAAGCACUCUCUUUCCAAUGCUUGAAUACCUCUGUUCCCAGUGGAGCCGUUGCUGGCUGAUAUAUAUAUGAUAUGGGGAGUCCUGGUGACUUUUUUAUUCUUGCUCUGCACAGCUCCUGGCCUCGUCUCGGCUGCGGUGGGCUGCACGAUGGAUGAUGUGUUUGAGGCUUUCCAUGUCUGGGGGCAGAUUGGGGCGAGAUGGCGCCGGGAGACCUGCGUGGUGGAGCCUGGUGCUGGGACAGCGAGGGAGGACAGGGUGCAUAGAGGCUGGAGCAAUGGAGAAUGUUAGGGACGAGUGCAGGGCUGAUGGGCAGUGAGGAUCAAUAGGUCUUUGUCGCCUGCAGUUUUGCUCUUGAACCUGUACUCGGGUGCAGAAUGGAUUAGAGCAACCAGGCAGCCCACCACUAACACUGACUGCAACCUCCAACUGUUGUGUGCCUCAACAUCUCGACCGUUGGAGGGCACUGCUCUGAUGCUCCCUGUAAAUGGAUUGCUGCUGGGAGGAACUAGGAGCCAAAAAAGGUGUUCCCAAUGAUCUCUGCUGCUUGUCUGGAGCCUUUCUUCUGGUCCCUGUGACCUCCUGGCAAUGUCGCCUUAGGCAGUGAUGCUGAGCCCAUGAUCCCAUGAUGAUGCUCUCGCCUUCACCACGGGCCAGGUGACCUCAUCAACACUGCUGUCCCAAGGACAGACUGCCAGAAGAUGCUGCAGGCACUGGAGGAUGCAUCCCUAGAGGAGCAGGAGCCCUCCAGGUCCAUGCUCAGGGCUCCAGGUUGGCACCCCAUGGUGGGGCCAGGAGGCCCUGGUGCUGUAAAGAUGUAUAGCUUUUCACCUGGCUCCUGUGUAAUUAGCAGCUGCCCAUUGCUGGGAAGGACUGGGCUCAUCCUUCCCUGCCCUGGAGAGCGGUACCUGCUUACCCUCGUGGCAGCUCUGCUGUUUGUCUAGGGGCAAGGAGAGUCAGUCUGGCUCAGCAGCCAAGAGCUGCUUCAUUGGUAUGUCCUGAUUAUCGUUCUUCUGCCACGAUAGCAAAUAAAAUAGUGAACAAAUGAGCAUCAGAGCGGGCAGAGGAUGAGAAGCACGUGACUGGGCAGAGAGAGGAGAUGCAAGUGAUGGGUAUUGCCUUGUUCCAGCCAUGUAGUGAACAUAAAUCAUACCACACGAUCUUGGGCUCUCUUCUCUCCCGCUUGCACGAAUGACUGCCUGUCUUCUUUAUUUCCAGGCUGCAGGGAGGCAACCUGGCCCUAAGUCUCCCAGGCACUGUCCCAACUAGUCCCUGCACAAAGCACACAGACAUCAUGGAUGGGAUGCAAUGGAGAAGUUGAGCAGAACUAGAGGGACACCCAGCUGUGCUACUUUCUAGGUAUGGGCAGUCCUGCCUGCUCUCAGCAGCUUUUUCCCUGCUGGGUGCUGCCUGUGUGCUCAGUGCUGUGCAACACUGGUUGCUGCAGCACAAAAGGAACAAGAGGUCUGGUGCUCUCCUCUCUUUUUUUCUUCCCUUCUUUUUUUGCUGUGACUUGGAAAGAACAAAGUCAAGAGACUGCCAAAGCAGAGGAAAACAAGGCCAAGCACACACAGAUGGUGAGCCCACAAAUUUAAUUUAAAAUCAUCCUUUAUUAUUCAAAAUAUUAAAAUUCAGGCAAAA